rnacentral:pre_miRNA from 1 species
UUUUCAUUUUAGUAAAUUUGGUUUGGUGGUUGUUUGAUGUUUCCUCUGAAACCAAAAAACAUCAAACAGCCAUCAAACCAACUUUACUAAGAUGAAAA